UGCAAGCUAUCUUUGUACUAGCAUGCGAUGCCAUAUAUUUGACGCAGAGCCUUGUCCCAGUCUCUAGACCUGCCUGUCUGUGUGGUGGAUGACCACCUGACCUCUGAAGCUGUCAAUGAGAUGGAGCAGAGCAAUUCUACCAGGAGCAGAGCAACCUCAGUGAUGGAAACC